GGGACAGAUAAUUUUAAAAGUAAACUUUAUACAAAAUCUUGUGCCAUCUUGUCAUUCACAAAAUGCAAAUGACAACUCAACACCUUUAAUAAGAUAUGUUGAUCCUUGUUUUUUAUUUUAAACGCCCUGCCUCAAAAACCACCUUUUUUCAUUGAUAGUUUUUGGGUGUGCAGGUCUAUGAAUUUUAACACAUGUAUGAAUUUUUGUAAUUAUCACUACAAAAAAUUAAGUUACAGAACAGUUCCAUCACCCCAAGAAACUCAUUUAUAGUCACACCCCCCUCCCCCGCCCCAUUGGUCUGUUCUCCAUCCUAUGGUUUUGCCUUUUCAAGACUCUCAUAUACAUGGAAUCAUAUAGAAUGUAAUUUUUUGAGACUGGCUUCUUCUCAGUGUAACGCCUUUGAGAUUCCUCCCAUUGCUACGCAUGUCAAAGUUUAUCCCUUUUUGGUGCUGCAAAGUAUUCCAUCAUGUGGCUGUGUGACAGUUUGUUUAUGCAGUCCUCUGUUUUUAGUUUGGGGCGAUUAUGAAAGAGUUGCUAAAAGCAUUUGUGGAUAGGUUUUGCGUGAACACCAGACUGCAUUUCUCUAGGGGUGAUACUCAAGAGCAGGGCUGCUGGGUUGUAGGGUGUGUGUUGAUGCUUCUUUGUAAGCAGAGGACUCAAUACUCCUACAACAUGUUGAGUGGUGUCCCUCCAAAAUUCAUGUCCACCAGGAACCUCAACACUGUGACCUUAUUGAGCAAUAGGGUCUUUGUAGAAGUAAUUUAGUCAAGGAUAUUGAGAUGAAAUCAUCUUGGAUUUAGGGUGGCCCCUAAAUCUGAUGACUAGUGUCCUCUUAAGAAGAGGAGAGGACAUGGACACAAUUAAGAUACAGAACAGUUCCCAUGGGAAGAAGGUGAUGGAAAGACAGAGACAGAGAUUGGAGUGAUGCAGCCACAAGCCAGGGGACACCAGGAGCCCCCAGAAGCUGGAGAGGCAGGGGAGAAUCAUCCCACAGAGCCUUUGGAGGGGACCUGGUCCUGCCAACACCUUGAUUUCAGAUGUCUAGCCUCCAGCACUGACAGAGAAUAAAUUUCUGUUGUCUCAAGCCAUCCAGUAUGGUAAUUCAUUAUGGCAGCCCCAGGAAACGAGUACAACUCUCCCUGCUUUUAAGGACCCCUUUCUUCCAUUCUUCAGGUCAAGAUGAAACUCUCCAGUUCCUGGAGUCAGAAGAGCUGGCCUUCCCAGAGGCCUUACUGUCCUGUACAUUCAUGAAUAAAGGCAACGAGGCCUUUUUUUGUUCUCCGUUAUUAAAUGUAUGCAGGCAGAAUAAAGGUUAGAAAACUCAAAAAGAACACAUUUAAUGUGGAGUUUCAGACCAGCCAAUGGUGGGCAUUUGUCCUUUUCCAUUCUCUACCCACCCCAAAGGUCACAGAAAAUUCAAAACAACAGACAGAAGCCUGACGACAACAAUACGUCCGAGAGACAGGGGACAGGAAUACCUCAGGGCAAGGCUCAUCGGUGAAGUUCAACAUGAAAAGCCACAGAUAAACGCACCUGGGGAAAAUGAGAAUAGGCAGAUGAAAGAGUGGAGGCUGCCUGGGAAAGUGGCGAGGCGGAGAUCUUAGGGGAAAAGCGGAUAACAAAGUGGCUAUGAAUUCACAGCGUGAUCCCUUUGAGGGAAAGGACACUUCUAUUCCAGGGUUUGUGUCUAGAAAGAGCUCCAGCAAACCAGCAGGGGGCUGAGAACCAUUUCGUGCAAUGACCCCAAGUCCUACAUAUGGUAAACCCUGGCUCAUGCGGGUGACAUAAAAGGUGAGGAAGAAGGUUCAAGAGACAGUAAUCAAAGUGACAUGGUCAGUGACUGAUGAGAAAAAGAUUCUGUUUGGAAAAACAACGCUCUAAUCAGGUGCUGUAGGUCAUGGCAACUAAUUAAGAGGACAGAAAAGUACAUUAAAGCAAUGUGGAGAGUCACAAAUGCUAUGACUCAAUUCAUUUACUAAAAAGGCUGUAAGGGCACAAAAUUGCUUCUAAGCUACGGUUCCCAGGGCAGCUGCAACAAGGCUCCUUUCAUAAGCUUGGUCUAAUUUCAGUGCAGAGUAGCCUCAAUCCAAAUUCUUCCUCUAGGCUGCCACCUCCUUUGGACACACAGACUGUCUCAUGAGACAAGGCCAACACUUCCCAUGAGCACGUGUGGAGACUGGCACAGGGAUGGUGUACGGUUUCCCUGCAGUAUGAUCAAUAAUGCUUCCUAAAAUAAGUCUCAGAAGCCAAGCUUAAAAUAGUUUCAAUUUCUCCCAGUUCUUUCUUAUUUCAAUUCACAGGGUGGUCUCUGGGAACUAGAACUGCUGGUUUUCUGUAAAGUUGACAAAUUGAUAUUGAACCUGGAUGUGCUCACAGGCUUGCACCGGGCCAGCCUGCAAUAGCCUCUGAGUUUGGCAUUUGCUAUGUUGAGGUGACUUUGGUCUCUACCCUUUCCUAAACCGUUUUUGUGUGUGUGUGUGUGUGUGCCUAAACAAAGAAUCCUUUGCACAAAGAGGCAGAGUUCCCGACACAGAAAAAUGACAGGCACUUCCUUUCCACUGGGAAGCCACUAACUCAGCCUUGAGGGAAGAGAAUAAAAUAUGGGGACAGAUGGCUUGCUGAGGCCAGCAUGGUGGGGCUGCCACACUGGGCUGUCGAAAGACAAUGAGGCCGGCAGCCUUGCUCUCUAGAGGCCAGAGAGUUCCCUUCUCUUGUUCCCCAAACAAGCGUCCUGAGGUCAUCACGGCUUGUGUCUCCUUCCAGCUCAUUCCUGGCGAGCCUUUCUGGGCAAAAACAAUGGAAUGGGCACCAGCCCCAAACCACUUAAGCAUCAUGGCAGAUUGCAUCUAUUGUCAGAAAAAGCAAAAUAAAGGAACAAAUUGUUACAUUUUCCUGGUAGGUUGUGUUUUGUUUGGUUUUCCUUUCUACGUGAAUUGGUUGUAAAGUCGGGGAACUACGCAAGGCCUCCUGGCUGAGCUCCACAGACCUCCCGACCAACUCAAGGCAGCCGUCCGAAGGCUCCAGAAGGAGCUCUCCAGGCAUGGGUGAGACAGACUUGGGCCAGCAGAUGGGGAGAGGGUUGGCUUCCAGAGCUCUUCCCAAGGCUUUGGUAUAAUCGGGUCCCAGGCUCCUGGAAGGGCUUGUCAUUUCUACUUUUCCUCAGCAGAAAGGAACCUGCUGCCAUGGCCCUGCCUUGAUGGACCAGCUCUCACAUGCGCUCUUGUGAAUUGACUUUGGGCUAUCUGUGAUGUCAUUUUUAAAUAACAACAUUUUCUUUUCUCUUUUAUCCUUAUCAUAAUCAUAAUACUUCUUUAUCAUGGAAAGAAUAAGAAUCUUUAGUAUGGGAUCUCAUCUGUAAAGUGAGAGCAGUAUCAGCACCUCCAUCACUGGGCAGCAGAGAGGAUUCAGUGACAUAAAGCAGCACUGAAAAAAGAGAAGAUGGAAAACUUCUGCUUCAUGGCUACCAACAUGAAAAAUGAAAGAUCCAUUGUGUGACCUUGAGACCAAUCCGAAAGCCAGAUGGAUGAGCAAUUGCUGCUGCUGAAUGUGGAAUUUGGAGGAGGCCGAAUGGGGAGGAAGGCUGCUUGAGCUGGGGUGAGGCUGUCUGAUUCAGUGGCCUCAGGAGCGAGGCCCAGGGGUCUACAGAGCAGAGCCGGACAGAGGCUGGGGGUGAGGAUCUGGGGCAAAAACACACAUAGGGCAUCUCCAGUGUAACAAGGCGGCACGACAUGGGCUGGGGCAAGUUGAGUGUCAGGACAGACAAGGAACAGGCUCCAUGGGCAGUCCCCAAGUCAGCACGCUGAGGAGGAGGUGGCGUGGCUACCACAGCUGGUAUUGCUCCCAGAGGAAGCAGGCUGUGUGCACAAGGGCUACACAGAGUGCCCAGGGGCUCAGUGGUUUCUCUUGCAGGUCCACCUAAAUCUCAAAGGGGUCUGGUCCUCAGCAUGGGCGUGGAUCCUAACUCUCAGGUGGAUUACCUGACAUUUUAAAUUUCUAGAAGAGUAGUGAAAAGGCUAAGUUCCUAGGAGAGUAGUGAAAAGAACUUAGCAUCUGCUACACGGGAUAUAAGAUAAUACCUUAUAACCAUGUGAAUUCUGGGGACUAUCUGAACUGAGCAGGAUAAACCAGAGAUUACUGUGGUCCCACCACCCUAUAAGAAUCACAGCGAGGCCACAUGUCCUCUCUGCAGCUCUUCAAAAGGAGAGCUAUUCUGAAUUAACUCAGGGGGACAGAGGCAUGCAGAAAAAGAGAAAUCAAAGGAAUCAGUUUGAAACAACUAAAAGAUGUUUUAAAAAAAUUUCCCCUUAUAUUUUCAUAUUGUGCCAGAAAAAGCAACUCAGGUACCUGACACUUUUCCUGAGAGUCCACAGCUACAUCAAAAUGGUUAAGCCCACUUUAAUAUCCAGUGACCAGCAACUAUUUCAAGAAGUCCACCAAAGUAUGGGGUACAAGGAGCCAGAAAAAAUCAUAUUGGGAAGGAUACUUCACAACAUGUUAAAAAUAGCAUACUGUACAAUUCAAUUUUAGAGGAAUUUGUAAAAAAAAAUUAUUAAUAAUUUGCAACGUGAACCAAAUUGCUAAUAGCAGUCAUCUCUGAACUGUGGGGUUGCUACUGGUUUCUUUUUUCUUUUUUGAUACUUUUAGGUUUGUAUUUUUCAAAUUUUAAUAAUCAUUAUGAAUUUUCCAAUCUGAAAAAAGUCAUUAUUUUAUAAAGGUUCAAGUUUAAACACUGUGUGACACUGUUUUAGACACUGUGGUUUCAAUGAAGUUGGCCAGCAAAGUACCUCUGAUUUUAGGCCACUGACAAGAGGAUGGUCCUAAACGUUUCCCCUGGGAUCACCACUUCAAAGGGAUCACAGUACCUCUGCCAGCUGGAUUGUUCUCUACUCUAGAAAAUUCCAGGUACUCUGGAAGUUCAAACAAAGUACUUGGCUGAAAUUUAAUAAAAGUUUAAAUGCUUCAUGAGGCAAGUAUUUUGCAGGGGCAUCCCUUGAUUUUUAGGUUGGAUGUACGAGUUGUACACGUGUAUACUGCAUAUGUGAACAUAAGCAUAGUCCUGCUAAUACAUACAGUAUGCACACAUGUAUCUGACUGGAUUCGCUUUUCUAAGUAAACAUUAAUAGUCACUGAGAAGAUGCAGGCUCCAUCCCAUUGUCAGAAACCAAAUCCUGGAGUCCUAAGUGCCCCACCACCCUCUCUACUUACAGGCCAACGGCCCCAGGCCACAGAGAUUUCUGCACAGAGGCCCAUGGAAAGUACAUAAAAAUGAGAAGAAAGAAAAGCUAGACAAAAAAAUAAUGACAGGGAGAAGUCCCAGGGAAAUGGCCCUCAAAAUCCAAAGGCCAGCCAUAUCUCUGAGGUCCCAGGCACAGGUCUUGCUGCUGGCCCGGGUCGCACGAGGGGCCUUGAGAAGUAGUGCGGAUAUCAGAGCCCAGGAGGCAAGCACAGUGUGUAAUGGGGGUGGGGUGGGGACU